rnacentral:rRNA from 1 species
GACGAACGCUGGCGGCGUGCUUAACACAUGCAAGUCGAACGGAAAGGCCUCUUUCGGGGGGUACUCGAGUGGCGAACGGGUGAGUAACACGUGAGUAACCUGCCCUUGACUUUGGGAUAACUUCAGGAAACUGGGGCUAAUACCGGAUAGGAGCUCCUGCUGCAUGGUGGGGGUUGGAAAGUUUCGGCGGUUGGGGAUGGACUCGCGGCUUAUCAGCUUGUUGGUGGGGUAGUGGCUUACCAAGGCUUUGACGGGUAGCCGGCCUGAGAGGGUGACCGGCCACAUUGGGACUGAGAGACGGCCCAGACUCCUACGGGAGGCAGCAGUGGGGAAUAUUGCACAAGGGGUGGAAGCCUGAUGCAGCAACGCCGUGGGCGGGAGGACGGCCUUCGGGUUGGAAACCGAUUUCGCUCAUGACGAAGCUUUGUGUGACGGUAGUGGGUAAAGAAGCACCGGCUAACUACGUG